rnacentral:hammerhead_ribozyme from 1 species
ACACCGCUGAAGAGUCCUACACUAGGACGAAACAGCCGUCCGGUGU